rfam:Mesorhizobium sp. B7, complete genome.
GCCCUUGUAGCUCAGCUGGUAGAGCAGCGGUUUUGUAAACCGAAGGUCGCGGGUUCGAUUCCUGCCGGGGGCA